AGGAGUUUGAAACUAGCCUGGGUAACAUGAUGAAACCCCAGAUUUUUAAUCUCUACCAAAAAAUACAAAACUUAGCUGGAUGCAGUGUCUCAUGACUGUAGUUGUAGCACUGUGGGAGGCCAAGGCAGAUGGAUCACUUGAGGCUAGCAGUUGGAGACCAAUCUGGGCAACAUGGUGAAACCUCAUCUCUACAAAAAAAUAUAAAAAUUAGCCAGGCAUUGUGGGACACAACUUUAGUCCCAACUUCUUAGGAGGCUGAGGUGGGAGGAUCACUUGAGCCCAGGAGGCAGAGGUUGCAGUGAGCCGAGGUCGCACCACUGCACUCCAACUUGGGUGACAGAGCAAAACUCUGUCUCAAAAAAGAAAAAAGCUGGGACGCAGGAGCGAACAUAGCCCAGCUUUACCCACAGAGGGCAGAAGAGUGGGGAAAGUGAAGGGCCAGGGGGCAGGGCUACGGACCUAGCUGGCUCACCCCAGCACAGCGCUUCCUGUCUGUCCAGAGGUGGGGUCCAGGGUGAGAGCCUGAAAUCCAAUCCUGUGUCUUUGGAAAAGUCUGGGGAAUUCUAACUCUUAUCUUGGUGCUGGGAUCAGAACCAGACAGUGGAAGGUGUGCUUGAUCUGCAUGCUGUGAGGACCAGAGUCCUGGACUAGAUGGGCUAUGGACAUGCAGGUAUUCCAUUUGAGCCAGACGGUAACAGCCAUUCCUUCUCCUUCCGAGACAACACUUCCUUUCUCAUCCUGAGGCCAAGUGCUUAACUAAAGCCCCUAAAAGCCGUGCAAUCACUUUGUGCCGCAGUUUUGAAUGUCAUCUUGCGGAAAGGAUUUAGGGAAAGGUGCAGUGACACACUUCCUCUCCCUUCUCUUGGGGAGGCAGGACAGGCCAAGGGCUCCUACUUCCUGGCCUAUAAAAUGUCUGGUCCAGGCUGGAUAGGUUGACUCCACAGGCAGACUUAAUAAUGGAAGGAGGCACAACUGUUCCUUGUGAUUCAGAUGAAAGGGCUCAUGUGGAGGGCAGGGUAGGGUGGGAAAGUGGGCUGACCCGCACAGCACCCCCUCCUACUUUCAGAGCUGUCUCCAUUUCCCCUUUUGUGGCCUGGGUACCUCGGCAACUCUGAGUAGCUAGCAUUCCCUGGGUGAGCCUAGCCAGCAGGUGCACUCCCCAAAAUGGUUCUACUGAGAGGCAGUUUAUGGUUAUCCUGGUCAGCAAAUGGGGAGAUAGUGUCCAGGCUCUGCACCCUCUUUCCCAGUUCAGACAUUUCUAAUGCCUCUCAUGGUGUCCCCAGAGCAAAACAAUGUGGCCAGCAUCUUGACCCCCAACCAGGAGCUGGAGGAACUGCAAUCUGGUGGAGACAUAUCCCAAGCCAGCCUCUGCUCACCACCUGCUUACAAGGACAAGGACACCGGACCCUGCUACGAGUUCUAUCCCAACUCUGUAGUCCUGGGAUGGCUCCAUACAGCUUGGAAGAGAGGGCUCUCAUUCUCCCACUUCCUGGGACCCUCCCCUGUUGAACGCCACGACCUCUUGCAGCAGCUGUGCCAGGAUAAACCACACCGAGUCACUGGCUUUUGGGAAAGGCCAUGGCAAGAACCACGAGCCUCUGUGGGGCUAUCUGCUCACCUUCCUCAUUGCUGUAGGUUUCAUCCUUAUCGGUAAAGUCCCUGGGUCUCUCUCCUGGGCUCUCUGCUCUGCCUGCUCAUCAUGUUCCUCCUCACACGGCGGGCAACACUGAUUACUGUGAUGCUUACCCUUCUGCUGUUAUAUGACCUACAAAACCUGGUGAGUGAGUAGGCGGGUGGGUAGGGAGUCAGGAAGUGAGUUACAACAGGAGACUGACCCCCACAAGAAGCCCAGAACUACGAAGAGUAAAAUCUGUUUCUUCUUCUACCUGACGAUUGAUGCGCCACCCCUAAUCCUUCUGCACCACCCCUUCCUCUGCACAGUUGUGAACUGGGGCUCUUCAGCCCAGGCAGACACCUACCACAUGGCACUGUCCUACUCAGUGAGCCUCACCAAUGUGCAAGAUCACAUUAAGAACUUACAGUAAGGAAGUCUCUAGACGAGAGAUUGAAAAUGGUGGCCUAUGGAUGGAAUCUUGCCCGGAAAUGAGUUUUCUGAUUGCACAGCAUUUACAAUUUUUAAAAUAAACCGCCAACAUUUAAGAUCCAGGCAUCUGCUAAUCCUGGGUCUCCAACCCACAUGACACAGUUAGCUGGGGCCGAGUAGCUCCUUUCCCAUGGGAUAAGUCUGGUGCUAUCCAGUUUGCCACAGUUCCCACUUGGUCCACUCCAUUCUUUAAUACUACGACUGGUUCUUGCAGACUUUUGGCUUUUUUGGGAAAGGCCAUGGCAAGAACCAUGAACCUCUGCAGGGCUAUCUGCUCAGACACAGAAGGAAACUAGCUUCCUGAAAUCUGGGAGGGGUAGUGGAGAAAAAGGAAGUCUUCUUGUCACCCCUCACCCAACAUACCAUAUCCCCUUCCUUCCUUUUUGCUUCUCCUUUCAGGUCUCGCGUUUGAACCAACUGAAGUCCAAUGUGCUGGUCUUGGGAUAUAAGCAAAAUUGGCAGAAAGGGCCUGUAUCUACCAUGGAGUACUACAUAGGCAUUCUACUGUGAAUGUGAGAUAGAGAAAAGUGAGAUGGGCAUAGAAAUGGUCAGGAACUAGAAAGAAGAGGAAAUAUAAUUGUAGUGAAAGCCUUGUUCCCAACAGCUGCCCAGCAGUGCCUGUGUCCCCAGGAAAGAGACCCCAACCCCUUCAUCUCUUCCUCCUUUAUCUCCUUUUCUCUCCUCUCCAUAAAGUGAUGCCUUUGACUACAACUAUGGCAUAGGCCUCAUAAGGAUGCCAGGAGGGUUAAGCCUGGCUACUCAACACCAAGCUCAAGACAGCAUCCUUACUCCAGCAGCCUCAAUGUUCCAGUCCAAGCAGGGCCGGAGGGCAGUGGACGUGUACUGGCUUGGUGAUGAUGAAGGUAAGGACUCCAUGGCUCCCCAGGAAGUCCCAAGUUCUCCAAGUUCCAGGGAGAAUAGGAAAGGGAAGAUAGUGACAUAUAAACCAGAAAGGAUUAGAAAGUGAACUCUGCAUUUACCAAGGACCCAAUAUUCUCCUCCCACCUCAGAGGACAACUGUGAUGUUUAAAGGCCAACAGAAAAGUCAGUGUUGCUGGAGCAGAGCAAACAGGGAAUUGAGUAGCAGAUGAAAGUGGUAAGCAGGGAAGGGCAGAGUGGAUCAUAGACAGUCUCACAGGCCUUUAAAAAGACUCUGGUUUUUCUUUUGAAUUAAGAAAACACCGAGGGUUUUGAGCAGAAGAGUAACAUGAUCUGGCUUCCAUGCUAACACUAUUCACUCUGGCUGCUAUGUGGAGAAUUGACUCUUAAGUUGGCAAUGAUAAAAGGAGAAAGACCAGCUACUACAAUAAUCUUGAAGACACAUAAUUCUGGCUUGCUCUACAGUGGCAGCAGUGGAAGUCAGGAGAAAUGGAAUUCUGGAUAUAU